rnacentral:piRNA from 1 species
GCAGAUAAACAAGUGAACACAGGUCUCUG